rnacentral:lncRNA from 1 species
AUGACUCGUACAAAGCAGACUGCCCGAAAAUACACUGCGUAAAAUCAGAUGCUGUCAGAAGUCCACUGAACUUCUUCUGAUUUGCAAACUUCCCUUUCAGCAUCUGGUGCUCAGGACUUCAAAACAAGUCUGUGCUUCCAGAGUGCAGCUAUGGGUGCUUUGCAGGAAGUAAGUGAGGCCUAUCUGGUUGGCCUUUUUGAAGAUACCAACCUAAUGUGCUAUCCAUGCCAAACGUGUAACAAUUAGGCCAAAAGAUAUCUAGCUAGUACGCCACGUACGCGGAGGACGUG